UAUUUUCUGAGUUUUAAAAAACUUUUUAUUUAUCAAUUAAAAGAUAUACAAAUAUUUUUGAAAUAUAGCAAAUGUAAGGUAAGCAUAAAAAUACAGUAGAAAGUUAUCCAAACAGACAUACUAGUCUAGUACUGAUUCAACAAAACAUGCUGAAACUAUAUUAAUUUGACACUAUUCAAUUUGUACUUCAAACUAAACAAGGAUUACAGUGAUUACAUAAUGAUAUAAAAGGCAGUUCUCUAACAAAAACUAGUAUUUCUUAAUACAUAUUACACUAAACAAAGCACCUAACUACAUAAGGCAAAAACAUGAAACAAAGAAAAAUCACAGAUGCAUAAAUAUUACUGAAAACUUCAAAACACCUCCCUCAGUUAAAGAAGGUAGAAAAAUCUGGCAAUGGUACAGUUAAAAUCAGCAACAUCAUGCCUCAAGUGGAGCAUUAUACUGUAUGCAAACUCUGCAGAGUAAAUAGUCCUUUCAAAAUCAUGAGAAAUAUUCACCCAAUAGACCAUAUUCACAGCCACAAAAAAGACCUUAAUAUAUCCAAAGAAAUGGAAAUUCUGCAAAGUAAGCUCUCAAGCCAUAUUGGAGUAAAACUAAAAACCAACAUACUUAGAAUAUAAUAACUUUUUUCUCUCUUUUUUCCUAUUAUCUGUCUUUUAUUUCAUGCUUUAUAUAUGAAGUUUUUCAUAUAAAAGAAACCAUGUGAUGUUUAAACUGAUAUGUCUGAUUUACUUCACUUAACAUUAUGGUCAAGGUACAAGAUCCCAAUGAUGAAUGUAACUGUAUUUUACACCUAAAAUGUACCAAUAAAAAAAGAACAUUCGAUCCCCGGUACCAAAAAAAAAAAAAAAAUGGGGCAGGAAUAUUUUGGGUUGGGGAUUUAGCUCAGUGGUUUCACCACCUGCUGCGCAAGCACAAGGACCCGAGUUCGACCCCCGGUACCAAAAAUAAAAAACAAAAACAAAAAAACAAAAAAGAACAGAACCAGAUCAUUUCACAGAUCUAAAUUCUACGAAUCCAAAGGAAUUCUAACAAAUUUUUAAGGAAUAGUUAGUUCAAAUACUAAUUAAAUUAUUCCAGACCAUAAUAUCAGAAAAAAAACAAUUUCAAAUUAUUUUUACAGUCUAUCAUAGCACUGUCUCCAUGAUCGCACAAAGAUAGCAUACAUAACGAAACUGUGAAGACCAAAACCAUAUUAACUGAAAGCAGACACAGUGGUUCAGGCAAGAGAAUCGAAAGUUUAAGUCCCACCUGAGAAACUUAGUGAGAACCUGUCUCUCAAUUUUAAAAAUUAAAAAGGGCUGGGAAUGUAGUUCAGUGGUAGACCAUCCCUGGAUUCAUCCUCCUGUACAUCCUCCUGUUUCCUCUAUAAAACCUAGCAACCUAAUGAAAGAAUAAAAUACCAUAACCAAGUAAGAUUUAUCCUAAGAAUUCAAGGAUAAUUCAAUACAUUAUUAGGGAAUAUAUUAAUAUAACUUAUAUUAAUAAAUCAAGAAAGUAAAACAAUUCACACAUGAUUUCUAUAAAUUCUAAAAAGACAUUUGAUAAAUAUAAUAUCUAUCAUUUGUUAAAACUCUUAGAGCCAAGUGCAGUAGCAUAUAAUUGUAGUUCUAGUUACUUGGGAUCCGAGGCAGGAGGACUGCUUGGGCCCAAGAAUUCAUGGCCAAUCUGAGCAACACAGCAAGAUGAUCUAAAACAAAACAAAACAAUACAAAACAAAAAGCAAAACAACAACAAUAAAAAACACUCCUAAAAAGACAGGAAUAGAUGAUCCUUCCUUAAUAGUGAAACAUUACAAGAAUCAUUAAAGCCGAAAAUAAGACUUUAAAAAGUCAAUAGCAAUCCAGCACCUGCCUCGCAAGUGCAAGGUCCCAAGUUCGAUCCCUGGUACCAAAAAAAUAAGAAAAAGUCAAUAGCAUCCCUAUAUAAACAACAAAUAAUUAGAAAAUAUAUUGGGAGAAAAAUUCCAUUUAAAAUGAUACUUGGGCCAGGGAUUUAGCUCAGUGGUUCCGCCGCCUGCCUCUCAAGCGCAAGGACCUGAGUCCGAUCCCUGGUAUCAAAAUAAAUAAAUAAAUAAAUAAAAUAAUAUAAUAUAAUGAUACUAAAUAUGACGAAGGAAACUUAAACAGUAUAAAUUCUGCAUGUAAAAAACUUUAAACCACUAAGAAAAAGUAGGUAUCUUACUAUAUUAAAAAGGUUUCUCUGUACUGAAAGAAAAACCAACCAUAGGGCCAGGGAUUUAGCUCAGUGGUUUUGCCGUCUGCUGCACAAGCGCAAGGGCCAGAGUUUGAUCCCCGGUACCAAAAAAAAAAAAAAAAAAAAACAACCAUAAGGGCUGGGGAUUUAGCUCAAUGGUUCCGUCACCUGCUGCACAAGCACAAGGACCUGAAGGAGGGCUGGGGAUUUAACUAAGUGGUUCCGCCGCCUGCCCCACAAGGACCUGAGUUUGAUCCCCCUGUAACAAAAAGCAAACAAACAAAACAAAACAACCAGAAAUCAAAAGAUAAACUGCAUUUGCAGUGUAUAUCUCCUUAGCAUAAAAGAGCUCCUACAUAUUAAUGAGACAAACCACCCAAUUUUUCUAAAUAUGCACAGAAUAUAGAUAACAAGAAAUUCAAAUGGUUCCAAAACAUAAAAACUGCUCCAACCUCAUUCAUAAGAGAAAUAUAAAUUAAAACUAAGUUAAUCCUAAAAAAACCCCAAAAGACUAAGUUAAUCCUAUUAGUGUGGCAAAGUUAAAAAAAAGUUUGAUAAUACUCUGUUGAAGAUAGAAAAGACAUUCUCAAACACCAUUGGUGAAUAAAAAUUGAUAUAUCAUCAUAGAAAU
rnacentral:lncRNA from 1 species